GAGAAACAUCAGUGCGCACAGACAGAUGCCGAGAGGGCGGAUGUAGGCAACGUGAGGAGCAUAAGCAUGUAUAGAUUCAAGUAUACGCACGGUAUAUUCAGCGUUGUGAUUGUAUUUUUCCAAAUCUCUCAAGUCAGUUCUAAUUCAGCGAAUUGGGCGAGUUUCGACGUCAGAGGAGGCUGGUAUUUGUACAAUGAUUCCAUGCUGUUUUUGGAUGAUGCCAGAGCAAGUUGUCUGUCGAUUGGAGCCGAUCUCAUCAGUAUCCACUCCCAGGCUGAAAAUGACUUAUUUACGAUAAUGUUAUAAAUACGAGAGAGAGGGUUGCAAUAGGGGCAACUGACGCUGCAGAAGAGGGUACGUUUCUCUGGACUGACGGGCUCCGAUGGAUUAUACAAAUUGGUUUCGUGGAGAACCCAACAAUGCCUACGGUAGGGAAGAUUGUGUUUUCAUGGACCCUUACAAGGCUGAAAAAAAACGGCAUGGAAUGACCUUCCUUGUAACUCCGUCUUCACUGGUGCCUUCAUAUGCUACCAAGAAGGUAAAACUCUCAUUAUCUGUCAAUAGAUGAAUAUGUCAGCGAUAUAGGUCUUACACGCAGAUCUGGUCAUAUGUUCAUAAGACCCGUGAAGAUCCGGGGUAGAAUAGGUCUUCAGCAACCCAUGCUUGCCGUAAAAGGCGACUAUGCUUGUCGUAAGAGGCGACUAACGGGAUCGGGUGGUUAGGCUCGCUGACUUGGU